ACAUAAUUCAUUUGUGCGUUUCCCGCCGUCAGUCAAUUCAUAUCUAAUCUAGUUCAGGUGUCAUUGUCGCCACAGAUUAUUCCCGGGUAGACAUCGGGUUGUACAGGGUGUACUUUAAAUUAGAUACUUUGACACUUUCAUCACAACAGAUACCUUCGAGUCAAUCAUGUCUGGGAAUGGCGCUAGCAAGACGCAAGAUAAAACAGAUAAGACAGUAAACAUCACUGGCCAUGAAGGGGAAGGGUAUGUCAGAAAGGUGGCCACCGUUGGUGCUUAAUUUUGCCGAAGGUCGCACAAUGGAAGAGAUUGGGAACCGAGACCUGAACAUAACUGGCAAGAAAGGUGCAUCAGCUGGCAAAGUUACGGCUGUUGGACUAAAGUUCAAUUAAUUUGCUGUAACAGUCUUGAAACAUAAACUCAUCUAACA